rnacentral:misc_RNA from 1 species
GAUGAAGAACGGCAGCAAAAUGCGAUAAGUAAUGUGAAUUGCAGAAUUCAGUGAAUCAUCGAAUCUUUGAACGCACAUUGCGCCCGCUGGUAUUCCGGCGGGCAUGCCUGUUCGAGCGUCAUUUCAACCCUCAAGCCCCCGGGUUUGGUGUUGGGGAUCGGCUCUGCCUUCUGGCGGUGCCGCCCCCGAAAUACAUUGGCGGUCUCGCUGCAGCCUCCAUUGCGUAGUAGCUAACACCUCGCAACUGGAACGCGGCGCGGCCAUGCCGUAAAACCCCAACUUCUGAAUGUUGACCUCGGAUCAGGUAGGAAUACCCGCUGAACUUAAGCAUAUCAAUAAGCGGAGGA